rnacentral:rRNA from 1 species
GAUGAACGCUGGCGGCGUGCCUAAUACAUGCAAGUCGAACGCUGAAGGAGGAGCUUGCUCUUUCCUGAUGAGUUGCGAACGGGUGAGUAACUCGUAGGUAACCUGCCUGGUAGCGGCGGAUAACUAUUUGAAACGAUAGCUAAUACCGCAUAACAGGAGAUAUUGCAUGAUAUUUGCUUGAAAGGGGCAAUUGCUCCACUACCAGAUGGACCUGCGUUGUAUUAGCUAGUUGGUGAGGUAACGGCUAACCAAGGCGACGAUACAUAGCCGACCUGAGAGGGUGAUCGGCCACACUGGGACUGAGACACGGCCCAGACUCCUACGGGAGGCAGCAGUAGGGAAUCUUCGGCAAUGGACGGAAGUCUGACCGAGCAACGCCGCGUGAGUGAAGAAGGAUUUCGGAUCGUAAAGCUCUGUUGUAAGAGAAGAGCGAGGGUGAGAGUGGAAAGUUCACACUGUGACGGUAGCUUACCAGAAAGGGACGGCUAACUACGUG